rnacentral:rRNA from 1 species
UACGUAGGGGGCAAGCGUUGUCCGGAUUUACUGGGCGUAAAGAGCGCGCAGGCGGUCGUUCAAGUCGCGUGUGAAAGCCCCCGGCUCAACUGGGGAGGGUCACGCGAUACUGAUCGACUCGAAGGCAGGAGAGGGAAGUGGAAUUCCCGGUGUAGUGGUGAAAUGCGUAGAGAUCCGGAGGAACACCGAAGGCGAAGGCAGUGUCCUGGGGAGUACCUGACGCUCAGGUGCGAAAGCUAGGGGAGCGAACGGG